GAUGAACGCUAGCGGCAGGCUUAAUACAUGCAAGUCGAGGGGCAGCAGCUUUAUAGCAAUAUAGAGGCUGGCGACCGGCAAACGGGUGCGGAACACGUACACAACCUUCCUUUAAGAGGGGGAUAGCCCAUGGAAAUGUGGAUUAAUACCCCGUAACAUAUCGGUGUGGCAUCACACUGUUAUUAUAGUUUCGACGCUUGAAGAUGGGUGUGCGGCUGAUUAGGUAGUUGGCGGGGUAAAGGCCCACCAAGCCUUCGAUCAGUAGCUGAUGUGAGAGCGUGAUCAGCCACACGGUCACUGAGACACGGGCCCGACUCCUACGGGAGGCAGCAGUAAGGAAUAUUGGUCAAUGGACGCAAGUCUGAACCAGCCAUGCCGCGUGAAGGAUGAAGGUCCUCUGGAUUGUAAACUUCUUUUAUAGGGGGCGAAAAAAGGUAAUUCUUUCUCACUUGACAGUACCCUAUGAAUAAGCACCGGCUAACUCCGUGCCAGCAGCCGCGGUAA
rnacentral:rRNA from 1 species